rnacentral:rRNA from 1 species
UACGGAAGGCAGCAGUGGGGAAUAUUGCACAAUGGGCGCAAGCCUGAUGCAGCCAUGCCGCGUGUAUGAAAAAGGCCUUCGGGUUGUAAAGUACUUUCAGUCGUGAGGAAGGUGUUAAGGUUAAUAACCUUAGCAAUUGACGUUAGCGACAGAAGAAGCACCGGCUAACUCCGUGCCAGCAGCCGCGGUAAUACGGAGGGUGCGAGCGUUAAUCGGAAUUACUGGGCGUAAAGGGCACGCAGGCGGUUAAUUAAGUUGGAUGUGAAAUCCCCGGGCUUAACCUGGGAAUGGCAUUCAAGACUGGUUAGCUAGAGUCUUGUAGAGGGGGUAGAAUUCCAUGUGUAGCGGUGAAAUGCGUAGAGAUGUGGAGGAAUGCCGGUGGCGAAGGCGGCCCCUGGACAAAGACUGACGCUCAUGUGCGAAAGCGUGGGGAGCAAAC